AUGAGGCUUCCUCGUGAUGUUUCGAAAUUACCUGGGUCCUACGACCUCGAGAGAGAGGUUAGUCAAUAAUACUUUUGUAUUUGUAUAGGAAAUUUAUUGUAGACGAAUAGAUUGCUAUAUUGUUACAUGUGUACAGAACUCUUUUGAGGUUUCUCUGAAUAGGAAAAAAAACGUGAAACAGCCACGUGAUUUCCUAAUCGAAUAACAAAAUUAUAUCAGUGGUAAGAAAAUUUUAACUGGUUCAUCGAGACGAAAACGUGAUUCAAAUUAAACUAUGGCACGUGAUAGUGAUGAAAACGAUUCAGCUUAGCACGUGUUCUCGUGAGUGAAAGCCAUGGAUUGAUCCGUGGCCAGCAAAUUUAAUUUAUGUUAGUGUAUCAGUGUAGUUUUUAACCAGUACAAAGUUCGCAAGAAAUUUUUUUUAAAUUUCAUUGAAUUAUUGAAAUGUUUGGAUGUGAAUAUCAUGAGCAUUGAUGAAUAUAAAUUUUAUGCAACGUUUUAUGACAUAAUACGAGCAAAAGACUGGGUAGAUGAUACGAGAAAAACGUAUGGGUUACUAUACAUAGGAUUGAAAACCACAAAGCAUCUAUUCACAGUUUGUGUUCACGCGAUGCUCGCGUGGUUACCAGUUCGAUGUUUGAAAAAUCUUAAAAAUCCUGUCAUUUUCUAAUUUCCCAGCGUGCAAUCUUGAGUGGACGUUGGUCCAUUGAUUAGAGGUUCCGGUGACACUCGGACUUCUCUUAUCUUCGCCAUUUUUCAUCGUGUACUCACUAUCGAAAUACUCAAGCGAGCGAAAAAAUUAUUUACUGCAUGCGAAAAAUGACUUCCAUUGCUAUUCCUUAAAUUUGUUAAACAUGAUUAAUCUGUCACCGUGAUGCAUCGAGGAUUAGUGAUUUAACGACUCUGGAAGGAAAAAAAACAAGAAUGAAACAAGAAAUACGUAUUGAAUUGCGAAUAAGAAUUUCGCAAUUGAUGGAUGCCAAGGAGUCAUCAAUCACGGUGCCGAUAUUCGCAAGUUUCAGAAAUUUUGUGGAUUUGGGUCGCGUCACGCUAGACAAAAUAAAAUUACGUAAUUCCAUCAGAGACGCUGUCUGCCUAUUUUGACCUUUCCGAGUAAUAGAUAUAGGCUUCGAGAAUCCAAAUAUAAUGAAGACAUAUAAGGAAGAAAACAGUCAUAGUAUAAUUAUCUUGUUGAUAUCUGUAGUAUACAUGAAAAUCAAAGAAUUAAUCAUUGUUUUGCUACCAAUUCGCUUUUUUUUUAAUAUCUUAUCUUUUUUUUAAUAGCUGUUUGUGCAUUAAUCCGUUGAUCAUCUAUUAUCAGAAAUUUGUUAAAAAACAUUAUCAGAGACAAAGAAUAAGGAUUAUUCAUAUGAUGGAUUAAGUUUUUUGUUCUUUUUUUUUUUGAAAUAAAAGAAAUGAUAAGAUGCGAAACAAGUAAAAUUGGUUUGAAAAUGGAAAGAAGAAAAAUUUUGCGAUAUUUCGACGAAAUAUUUUGACUGAAUAUUGCUGUUGGAUAAAAAAUUUGAAAGAAGAGAUAAUGAAAACAAAUGGAAAAUGAUGAUUUAUGUGAUUCGCACAGAUUCAAUCGCAUGCAAUGAAGAAUUAAAUAUCUACAAUUGACUCGUAGAACGAAUUAUCGAAACGAAAUAGAUAUACGUUCGUAUAUUUAUGUUUCGUAUGAUAUAAUUGAUAUAAUUAAUAUGAUAUAAUUUCCUAAAUAAUAAUUAUAAAAUGGGAUGUCAAAGUCUCGUGUGCAUAAAACGUGAUUUUUAAAUAAAUAUUUUUCCACUUAUGAUAAAUAAAAAUAUAAAUUUAUA